ACGAACGCUGGCGGCGUGCCUAAUACAUGCAAGUAGAACGCUGAAGGAGGAGCUUGCUUCUCUGGAUGAGUUGCGAACGGGUGAGUAACGCGUAGGUAACCUGCCUGGUAGCGGGGGAUAACUAUUGGAAACGAUAGCUAAUACCGCAUAAUAGCAGUUGUUGCAUGACAACUGUUUGAAAGGUGCAAUUGCACCACUACCAGAUGGACCUGCGUUGUAUUAGCUAGUUGGUGGGGUAACGGCUCACCAAGGCGACGAUACAUAGCCGACCUGAGAGGGUGAUCGGCCACACUGGGACUGAGACACGGCCCAGACUCCUACGGGAGGCAGCAGUAGGGAAUCUUCGGCAAUGGACGGAAGUCUGACCGAGCAACGCCGCGUGAGUGAAGAAGGUUUUCGGAUCGUAAAGCUCUGUUGUAAGGGAAGAACGAGUGUGAGAGUGGAAAGUUCACACUGUGACGGUAUCUUACCAGAAAGGGACGGCUAACUACGUGC
rnacentral:rRNA from 1 species